GUCUAUGCACACUGACAAGUAGCCUGAGGGCUUGCUGUUGGGUGGGGCUGGUGCCUAGGGCAGGCUGCCUGCCCCAGUUGAACUGGAUUAAAUCUGUGCUCUAGUGGGUGUGGCCAACCCCCCUGGUUUUAAGGCUAGGGCAAGAACUUCACUGGCGUCUGCCAGCGUCUGUGUCAGCGUGCCUGUACUAGGUUACAACAAUAGCCCCCACCAAUGUCUCAGUCUCUGGUGAGGUCUCACCUCUCACCGAGAAGCACCCAGAGCCUACCAGGUCAAUAUUCACAGCUAUUGGAUGUUGUUAAGGAGCAAGCACUGAGACCCAUCCCUUCUCCUCUUGUGUUCUGUUGGCGAGAAUAGACAUAAUGGCAUCCAACUGCUGAUGUGUGUUGGCGAAUGUAGUUUGAACCUGAAGUGUAAUGGUCACUCCUACUUCCACCCUGAAUCUGGACUUGCCUAUGAAGAGAUCUGGAUAUGUAGGGCAGUUUUAGAAGCCACUGGGAAGGGCCACAGGCCUGCUCCACGCACCGUAACCAGCAGGACAGUGAGUGACAAUGGUGGACCCCCUUCCUUACACACAAACACAGAAGGGUCUGUUGUAAGGAGUUAGGGAGAAGAUGAGGAGGAGGACUUGUUCCAUUUGAGAGGAAGUUGGUGGGAAUAAGAGCACAGACCAGCCGCCUUUAACCUUCUUAUUCCCAUUGCCAGAAAAUUUUACCAAUCAGAAGUGAGAUGAUUGCUCCUUGCUGUUUGCUAUGCACUCUGUGGAUUCCACGCUGAGAUCACUACAGUUGGAGAAGGAUGGCCUCUAUCAAAGCAAGUCAGAGAAACUCCGAGGAGAGAAGCCAAGGUGUCAUUUCCUGGGACCAAAUGAGAUGACCCAUCCAUUCUCCUGCCUGGAGCAUCAAAUCUCCUGUCUGGUUGCUGACAUUCUGGAGCUGAUGGUGGGGAGAAGAUUAGUGGUCUCAACAUUCAUAUGAUCUUGCCACUCUCCCUUCAAAAGGUAGAGCCUGUUUUCCCUUCCUUUGAGUCUGAUCUGUCCCUGUGACCUGUUUGGAAUCAAGUGAUACUGUGUAACAUCCAAGGAUGACCCUUAAGAGAUCUACAGCUUCCUCACUCACUUUUUGGAGUGGUCCUUCUUAGAACUCUUAUGCUAUGUUGUGAAGAAGCUUAAGUAGCUAUGUGGAGAAUCCUAUCUGGAGUAGAACUAAAUGCUCCAGCUGAACACUCUGGCUCAGCAACCUUCUGGCAGCCAGCCAUGUGAGUGUAAGCAUUUUGAACUUUCCAGAUAUCCUUCUGUCUCAGCCAACAUCGUGUGAAGCAGAAGAAAUGCCUGGUCAAUUCACAGACUCAUAGAAGAUAAUAAAUUGUUUUUGUAAGCCGCUAAAUGUUGGGAUGCUGGCUACACACCAAUAGACAACUAAAAUACUAAGUUCAUGUGACAGUUUUUUCUUCAGGAUCUCUAAUUGCCCAUGGUUUUGUAAUUUCAGAUGAGGACUAGCAAUACAGGUAUUAUGUCACCAUUUGGAAUGAUCUUUGAAAGUUUCAAGAUCUCUUUGAAGAGAAGUAAAGACUGAAGAGAGGUGAGGAGCAAUAAGCAGGUUGCCAAUACUGGAAGAGACAUCAUUUAGAAAAUAGUCUGAAUAAAAGUAAAAUUUCAUUCUCCUGAUGUUAAAGUCUCCAUAAUUUAACAGUGUACUGCCUUUCAGCUUGGCAUCCUCACAACUCACCUUUUGCUUUCUUACUACCAUUCCUUCGCCUUGUGGUUUCCUCUGCUUAAAAUGCCUUUCUCCUCUUGAAUUACUUGAUGAAUAUCCAUUAUUGUUGGAAGGCCAGCUCAAAUGCUACUUUCCCUGGAAAGACAUCACUGAUUCUCUCAGCCAAAAAUUCUGUAUAUGCCUGAAUAGGAGAUAAUAUCAAAAUUAGUGGAUAGAAUAAAAAAUGUUGGCUAACUCGAAUAAAUAAACUGUAGUGAUGUAAAUUGGUCGAAUGUCUAGUGAUAAUAUUAAAUGUAUUAAUGGAGUUACAUAGGCAUAUUUAAAAUCACAUUACAUAAAAUAUCAAUUAUUUUAGAAAUA
rnacentral:lncRNA from 1 species